ensembl:lncRNA
CGGAGAUCCUCCAAAAUGGCAAGGCCGAUGACUGGCUGCUCGCUGUUGAAGUCAACACUUCCCCGAGUUGGUUUGUUGGAAAGGAGAAAAAAACACCAGGAGUCAGGUCAAUUAGCGUACCAUAUAUUCAGUUUUUUACAAAAGCUUUUGGAGACAAGGUGUCGCCGCACAAUGUCUAAGGAUCAACAGUCAAAACAUCAUUUUAUACUUCCACUACGCCCAAAAGAUAGAGUCGUUAAGUUCACAAAGCAAGUGUGCUAUUGGUCCAAUCCCAGUUCUAUUCCUUGUAAGGAUAACUGCAAGUAUCCCCUUGCCCCCCUUGCAGUUUCUGUGUUGUCUGUCCGACUAUGUGUGUGUGUCUCUAACCUGUGUCCUGUUUCUCAAAAGACAGACAUACUAAAUCUUUCUCUCCCCGGCAACCACUUGAACAGGGUUUCCUGUUCUCCUACUUGCACCUUCAGUUUCAACACAGUUACAAACAAUUAAUAUUUUGUUUCAUUUCUUACAACAGUUCACUAACUUAUACAAUCAAUACAUCUACAAUUCCCCCUUUUGAUCUCUCCCCAGAGAGAUCACCCCUAUUCGCCAAGCUCCAGUUCUCCCGGGUCAUGCUGCUCCAGUAGAGGCAUCAGCAUCCCUGGUGGCGGUCCUGGAGCCUUCUCAAUGGCUGUAGAGAUCACUCUCAUGGCGAGCCCUCUCAUGCAUGGGAUACAACAACACCCACAAGUAACCAUUAUAGCACCAAAUGUAGCAAGCGAUAAAAGAACAGACAUUAUCAAACCUAUCCACUGGCCAAACAUCGAGGUCAGCCAUUCCUCCAGCGGAUUAUCUAUCCCAGAAUGCUCGUAUGUGACCCCUUGACAUAGUCCAAUUCAAUGCCCCCAAAUUUCCUCAAACAGGUGUCCUCAGGUGGGGUCGCGAACCUCUUCGCUGGGGGAAUGAAGACCCGAUGCCAACCUGGGAAACCUGUAACAACACACAACACACAUAAUUAUUCCACCAAUGUCCAUGUACCACUUCAUUCUAUUUUCAUCUCCUCAGACCUUUCUCUGUGACCCUGUCAUCUUGGUACAAGUGGUAGGAGCCACUCGGUGUCCUAUACCCCCUUUUGUUACAGUAUUCCUCAGUUCCUUCCCCUAAGAGUCUAUUCCCCUGGCGGCGUCCUUUGUCUCCUUCACUCGCUCGUAGUCCCGCAGUGUCCUGGGGUCCGCUCCUGGCACCGGUCCGGCUGGUGUUGGUCCUCCUUCCGUCCACACUGGGGAAAGCUCCUCCUUCCCGGUUUGGAUGAGGUCCGUCAGCGACCUCCCUGGCUCCUGCGCUGGUGUACACUGGCUCCAAUGGUACCAGGUCUCUCCUUUGUCCCUCAGGCGGACCGCAUGGCUCGUUCUCUCCACCACCUGAUGAGGAGCCGUCCACCUUGGCUCCGACCACUUUCGCUUGAUGACCUUCAGCAACACCCACUCCGCCUGGGGCAGGUUCUGGUCCAGCGGGUGCAGGUCCCUCCGUUCUCCGACUCUGUUGGUGAAUUCUGAAACGAGAGCUCGCAAUUCAUCAAAAUACACUGUGAUCUUUGGGCCACUUUUCCCCUUCCGGGACCGCAGGCCCCGCGGCUGGUCCUGGAAACUGUCUCCCCGUCAGCAGCUCGGUGAACCCAGUGGUCUGAUUUAACAAGCAUUGAAUCGUCAUGAGUGCCAGUGGCAGUGCAUCCACCCAGUUCAAUUUAGUCUGUACACAUAUCUUAGCCAACUUGUUUUUUAUGUUUUGGUUCAUCCUUUCUACCUGUCCCUGGGACUGUGGGUGGUAUACAGUGCCAAAAGCACGUUUUAGGCCCAAUAAGCUCUCUACCUUCUGUAAAUCACUGUUCAUAAAGUGAGUCCCAUUGUCUGACCUAAUUUUCUCUGGGAAGCCGUGUCUGGGAAUGUACUGGUUCACUAAACACUUGAUCACUGUCUGACUGUCCUCCCUUCUUGCCGGCCAGGCUUCUGGCCACCCUGUGAACAUGUCCACACACACUAACAUGUAGCAGCACCCCCGUACAGUUUCCCCCAUGUCCGUGUAGUCUAUCACUACCUCUUGUCCAGGUCUCGUCGUCUUGGGGAACGCCCCCAUCUCAGGUUUGAUCGUCGGUUUUGGGUUGUGGUGAGUGCAGAUGGUGCAUGUCCUAGUGUAGUUACGUACCAUGUCUACCAUAAACGGGUGCCACCAAUGGCACAAGUUCCUCAACAUCUGUGCUGGCCCUACAUGGCCCAACCCGUGGGCUUCUGCAAAUUUAUCUCCCCGCAUGGCUGGUGGAAGUAUUACUCUACCGUCUGGCCCUCUCCAGAGCCCGCUCGUCUCUGUUGCUCCUCUCUGUUGCCUAAUUGUUUUCUCUUGUGGGGAAGCCCCCUUUUGAUGUCUCACUAGCCCGUCUUGUUCGUGUCUGAAACAGCACCCAUCAGUGAUGAAGUCCUCUGCCCCUGGGAGGGGUUCUGCCUCCAGAUCGGUUUGUGUCUUACUCUCCCUGACUACCUCUUGCGCGCACUUAUGUGGUAGCCCCGUCCCCAUUCGAUCUGCCAUAUUUAUCCCUUCAUGUGUGAAAGUCAAAUUUGGAGCCCCGAGAAUUUUGCUUAGGUGUUAUUAUCUGAGGGAAGUCAUAGUGAACAUCUGUGAAUUUACAUACGCCACUACACUGUGUGUUGUGAGUAUCUGAAGUUGAUGCCCCAUCACUAUAUGUGCGCAUUUUUGAAUGAGUCUCGCUACCCCCGCUGCAUGCUGUGUGCAGGUGGGGUGCCUUUUUUCGGUUUUGUCAAAUCCUACGCUUAUGUACAUAAGGAUGUUCCUAUCUCCCCCUUUUUUCUGAAACAGGACCCGGUUCAUGACUUGUCCUGUUUCAGAAACAUCUAGAAAAAAGGGUUGUGUGUAUGAAGGCCUGGGCGGCCGGGCAAGUCCAAUUGAGAGUGGCUUUAAGUUUACGCAUUCACUGCUCUUUAACUAGCGCUCUAAGUGGCUCUGUGAGCCCUGAAUAGUUUGGGAUGUAAUUGCGGCUGUGUCCCGUGAGCCCCAGGAAUGAUAGCAUUUCCUGAACAGUAGUGGGUUUAGGAUGGUGGAGGAUGGUUGUGCGGUGAGCUGGGGAAAGCCCCGCUCCUUUCUGCGAGAUUACUCUGCCCAGAAAGGAGACCUGCGUCCUUACCAGCUGUAGCUUUUCUUUUGACACCUUGAAGCCUUUCUCAGCCAGUCUGGUGAGGACCGUCAUCGUAGAUUGGAUGCAGGCGGCCACCGUCGGGGCCGCCAGCAGAAGGUCGUCUACGUACUGGACCAAAGUUACCCCUGUCGGCAGGCAGCAUCCCUGCAGCGCUUCUCUCAGUACCUGGUUGAAUAUACCAGGGGAAAGCGCGAACCCCUGUGGUAGUCUCGUGUAUCGCCAUUGCCGACCCCUAUGUGUGAAAGAAAAAAUAUCACAAAGUUCCUCUGCUAGUGGGAGACAGAAAAAAACCGUUAGCCAGGUCAAUGCAGGUGAACCAUUUUUACGUUUUACAGCUGUGUGAGUACCAUACGUUUGGCGCCUGAGGGAGUGUCCAAUCAGUGCAUUCGACUGCCCUUUUAACCAUGGGCCCCAGGUCUUUUGCUUGGUGUUUAGGAUGCAGGGCCAGUGACACAUGUGGGACGGACUCCUCCGCCAUCAUGUACCACUGAUCCUGCUCCUCUGUCAACUGUACAUCUGCCGCUACCCCUUCAGGGCCUACAUAUAUGAAUUUAGACCCGACCUGCCACGUGUCCCCACAUACUACAUCCCCAAACCCCUCUCUAUACACCUCAUCGCCCUGCCGAUCAUAAAAUAGGGUUACAUGUGGGGGGUCUGGCGGAGGAAAGUACGGCUCGAGGAGGGAGAUCCACGGCCUCCACUUGAAGUACUGGGACAAAAUACCCUGUUUGUCCGGCUUUUCCGGUGUCAAUAGUCCCCAGUAUAUCUCCGCUAUUUCACCCUUCACCGGUUGUACCAGGUACUGCCCUUUGCGUGUGGUUUCAGGACGCACACCGCCGAUGUCCCGUCUGGUAACGUGACGGUUAGUCCAUCUGGAGAACAUAAGAUAUUAGCCCCCAGUUUUAUCAACAAGUCUCUCCCCAAUAAGUUCACUGGUGUGUUUGUCGACACCACAUACGGAUGGCUGAGGGCCGGUUUACCCAGUACCGUUUUAAGAGGAAAUGUCACUGGCAAAGUCUGUCCCACUCCUUCAAACCCCACAACAUCCACUGUUUUGGAGGAUAGUAGUCCUGUAGCGGGAGGGGCGGUGAUGGUGGAAAAAGUGGCACCUGUGUCAACCAGAAAGGAGAAAUCCUUCCCGUCGACAAUCAGGGACAGCAUGGGGUCUGCCCUUGCCCCGCUGUCCCCUCCCCUCCCUGUAGACCGUCACGCCUGGUCCCACCCUCCCUCAUAAGAGAGUGGGUAUUGUCCAGGUGCACUAGGUGGUGGGACGGCGUGUGGGUUGGGAACUGGAGCUGCCCCUUGGUUUGGGUAUCCUCUGCCCCUUGCAGUGUUCUGUGGGCAGUCUCUGGACCAGUGGUUCGGGUCACCACACGUAAAGCAGGCUCCGUAUGGGACUUGGGCUCCUUAAGC